UACGGAGGGGUGCAAGCGUUAUCCGGAUUCACUGGGUUUAAAGGGUGCGUAGGUGGGCAAGUAAGUCAGUGGUGAAAUCUCCGGGCUUAACCCGGAAACUGCCAUUGAUACUAUUUGUCUUGAAUACUGUGGAGGUCAGCGGAAUAUGUCAUGUAGCGGUGAAAUGCUUAGAUAUGACAUAGAACACCAAUUGCGAAGGCAGCUGGCUACACAAAUAAUUGACACUGAGGCACGAAAGCGUGGGGAUCAAACAGG
rnacentral:rRNA from 1 species